GUUCCUACGGGAGGCAGCAGUGGGGAAUAUUGCACAAUGGGGGAAACCCUGAUGCAGCGACGCCGCGUGAGUGAAGAAGUAUUUCGGUAUGUAAAGCUCUAUCAGCAGGGAAGAAAAUGACGGUACCUGACUAAGAAGCCCCGGCUAACUACGUGCCAGCAGCCGCGGUAAUACGUAGGGGGCAAGCGUUAUCCGGAUUUACUGGGUGUAAAGGGUGCGUAGGUGGCAGGGCAAGUCAGAAGUGAAAGCCCGGGGCUCAACCCCGGUACUGCAUUUGAAACUGUCUAGCUGGAGUGCAGGAGAGG
rnacentral:rRNA from 1 species